rnacentral:lncRNA from 1 species
CUCAAGUAUGGGAAAAUUGCUGUUCUUGAGAAUUUGCUGCCAGUCAUUAUUAUCUAUUAAAAGUUUUCUUAUUUUGAGCUCUUUCCUGAGCUCCUGCCUUUGAUAGCCACCACCUUUGACAUUUCCACUUGAAUGUCUAAUAGGCAUGUCAUGACCAAAAACAGCUUUUGAUUUAAUUCUUCCAACCGGUUCCCCUUCCAAGUUCUCCCAUCUCAAUAAAUGUUACUUUUUUUUUUUCAUAUUAAGGUAUUUUUAAUUGGUUCCUAAUAGUUAUACUUUACAUUAGGAUUUAUUUUGACAUAAAUAAUGGAUUACAGUUUGCUCUAGUUAAGUAAGUCCCCAGCACUUUAGCCUUACCCUCUACUUCCUCCUUCCCCCUGUUCUAUUUCCUGUACUGAUCUUUUUAUUUAUUUAUAUUUUUUAAAAAAUCAGUGUCUUAAAAAAAUUAGUGUCUUGUGAGUAUAUAUAAUGAUGAGAUUCACUGUAUAUUUAUAUAUAUGCAUUGGAAAAUUAGGUCAGAUUCAUUCACUAUUUUUUCUUUUCCUCCCCCUCAAUCCCCUUCUUUCCUGAUCUUUCUUUUAUUUUGAUGGAAUCCCCCCAUUUUUUCUCUUUCUCUCCCUCAUCCGUUACUUUCAAAUCCUAGUUCCUUAAGCCAAAACCCUAAAAAUUAUCCUUAACACUUUUUUUCAUAUUCUAUUUUUGAUUCAGCAAAUCCUCUUUAAUUCAGCAAAUAUGUUCAAAAUAUAUCCUGUUUCACACUUCUGUACCACUCUAGUUGAAUACAGUCAUCUUUUUAUAGAAUCCCUCAGCGUUAUUUUUUUGAGAAAGUACUCUUAGAGAUCUUUAUAAAAAUGUGAAUCAGAUGUCCCUUCCUUGCCCUCAAUUCUCAUGUCUUUUUAUCACACUUAAAAUUCAAGAUUCAAAAUUAUGUGUGAGUUAUUCAGCUUUAUGUGAUUGUCCUGUGACCACUGGUUUCAUCUGUUGCUCAGUUGGUUCAUUCUGCUUUCACUCCUUCAGCUUGGUGUUCUCACAAGAUGAGCAUAUUCCCUGCUCAGGGACUUUUACUUGCUUUUCCUCUGCCUUGAGCACUUUUACUCCCAAAUAUUUGUGUGACUUGUGCUUCACUUUGGGUUUCUGCUUAAAUGUCAUUUUCUCUGCAAAGUCUU